GAUGAACGCUGGCGGCGUGCCUAAUACAUGCAAGUCGAGCGAACAGACGAGGAGCUUGCUCCUCUGACGUUAGCGGCGGACGGGUGAGUAACACGUGGAUAACCUACCUAUAAGACUGGGAUAACUUCGGGAAACCGGAGCUAAUACCGGAUAAUAUAUUGAACCGCAUGGUUCAAUAGUGAAAGACGGUUUUGCUGUCACUUAUAGAUGGAUCCGCGCCGCAUUAGCUAGUUGGUAAGGUAACGGCUUACCAAGGCAACGAUGCGUAGCCGAGCUGAGAGGGGGAACGGCCACACUGGAACUGAGACACGGCCCAGACUCCGACGGGAGGCAGCAGUAGGGAAGCGUGCGCGAUGGGCGAAAGCCUGACGGAGCAACGGCGCGUGGAUGAUGAAGGUCUUCGGGUCGUAAAACGCUGUUAUUAGGGAAGAACAAAUGUGUAAGUAACGAUGCACGUCUUGACGGUACCUGAUCAGAAAGCAACGGCUAACUACGUG
rnacentral:rRNA from 1 species